CUUAAAUUGAAGAGUUUGAUCAUGGCUCAGAUUGAACGCUGGCGGCAGGCCUAACACAUGCAAGUCGAGCGGAAACGAGUUAUCUGAACCUUCGGGGAACGAUAACGGCGUCGAGCGGCGGACGGGUG
rnacentral:rRNA from 2 species